rnacentral:rRNA from 1 species
GACGAACGCUGGCGGCGUGCUUAACACAUGCAAGUCGAACGGAAAGGCCCUGCUUUUGUGCGGUGAUCGAGUGGCGAACGCGUGAGUAACACGUGUGUAACCUGCUCUUGACUUUGGGGUAACUUCAGGAAACUGGGGCUACUCCCGGAUCGGAUCUCCUGCUGCAUGGUGGGCAGUGGAAAUUUUCGGCUGUCGGGGAUGGACGGGCGGCUUAACGGCUUGUUAGUGGGGUAGUGGCUUACCAACGCUUUGAAGGGUAGGCGGCCUGGGAGGGUGGCCGGGCACAGUGGGCCUGAGAGACGGAGCAGUCGCGAACGGGAGGCAGCAGGGGGGAAUAUUGCACAACGGGCGGAAGUCGGAUGCAGCAACGCCGCGGGCGUGAUGACGGUUUGUGGGGUGUAAACCGCUUCCGCCUGUGACGAAGCGGGAGUGACGGUAAUGGGUAAAGAAGCACCGGCUAACUACGUG